GACGAACGCUGGCGGCGUGCUUAACACAUGCAAGUCGAACGGAAAGGCCCCUUUGGGGGUACUCGAGUGGCGAACGGGUGAGUAACACGUGAGUAACCUGCCCUUGACUUCGGGAUAACUUCAGGAAACUGGGGCUAAUACCGGAUAGGAAUCCUUGCUGCAUGGUGGGGGUUGGAAAGCUUCGGCGGUUUUGGAUGGACUCGCGGCUUAUCAGCUUGUUGGUGGGGUAGUGGCUUACCGAGGCUUUGACGGGUAGCCGGCCUGAGAGGGCGACCGGCCACAUUGGGACUGAGAUACGGCCCAGACUCCUACGGGAGGCAGCAGUGGGGAAUAUUGCACAAUGGGCGGAAGCCUGAUGCAGCAACGCCGCGUGCGGGAUGACGGCCUUCGGGUUGUAAACCGCUUUCAGCAGGGGCGAAGCUUGUGGUGACGGUACCUGCAGAAGAAGCACCGGCUAACUACGUG
rnacentral:rRNA from 1 species